rnacentral:lncRNA from 1 species
CACUCUCGGAUGAUUGAGGGAACUGAGUUUUGUCUCUGAGUCCAUUCAGUCAAGAUCUGUAAGUAUUGUGCACAGAAAAGAGGAUCCUCUGAGGUGACCUUGGCAAUGGAUACCUUGAAGCUGCAUUAGUUGGGUGAAUUAGCAUUCAGUUAAAUUUCAACAAUUAUCUACUGAACACCUACUGUGCUUGCAGUUCUGCCAGAGAAAGGACUGGAAUUAGACAAAGUGAAUCUCCUGUUUCUGGAAUUAUCAAGAAGACUACAGAAAAUUAUAGGAGUGACUCCGAAAUGCUAUGGAAGAGAUUCCUGCAUUGUCAUGCAUAAAGGCAGAUAUGAGACCUGAAACUGGGGCAGCCAUUGCGAGACCCUGAUGACAGCCAGCCCAAUGGCAAUGCAGACACACACAGCAUGGUGGCAUGAGAUCAUGUCCUAAGAAAUGAGAGAAUUUGAUGUCAUCGUGUGCUGCAGUCAGCCAGCCUUGGAACUCACCAUACCUCUGGACUGCUUGAUAGGGUUCCAGUUCACCUUCCAAUCACCAUUAGACGAAGUUACUCAUUUUUCCAAAAGCAGAGAACAAGAUUGCAGAAGACAACUUGACGUUCCAUUUUAGGAACCAAUAACCCUCAUAUUUGGAAAUUUCAUUACUACACUUUCAGAGGGGAGAAGGCUUUAGGAGGGGGUCUGUGUCGUGCCAGCAAAGACUGCCCCUGUGCCAUGACAGCUCCAUCAGGAAGCCUCCUCUCUUCUCAUCUGCUGCUCCCAAUCUUUCUCCUGAGCACCAGAAAUUACCUUGAGAAGAAGCCUGAAAAGGUGCAUGGUGUCCAGAAGCAUCUCCUCCAG